AGGCGGCGAACUGCUCUUCCAGCUUAAAUAGCCAAGGGGAAAGGCGCGCAGGUCAGGGUCACGACCGCGUAGCACGUUAGCAGAACGUGGGCCUAACCCGUACGUGAGCCGCAGCAACCGUCGGAUGAGCCGCAAACGGUCGAGAUCGGAGGCGGGGAGAUGCGCUGCGGAAAGUGGGACGAAGGCUGAUGGGGCGUCGGUCGCGUCGGGUCGGUGGAGGGUGAUUCGGCGAGUACUCGGCGGGGAGUUCAGAUGGGCUUGCACGUGUGGGACGACCUCGGUGCGUGCGGUCACCGACGGCUUCGGUACUGGGGGAUCGGACGCGAUCGCAUGGAUCCCAGGACGGUGUCGGGGACGGACGAGACAGUGACAGCGGCGAAUCAGGUUGCGCCACGCUUCAAAUUUUCUUUUAUGGCCUGCGGGGAUCAGAAAAAGGAAGAAAAAAUAGAGGUUUAUGCUGAUCAACUAAAGUCUCGGAAGGCUACUCUUGUGGAGUCCUUGUUUGAUGAAUGAAGGGUUGGUGCAAAGCAUGGUGUAAUACAAAAAUGGGUACCAACCACUUUAUUCCUCCUGGUUUGAAGGACUACUUGUCUUGGCAGCACACGGAGGCAUGGACUUGUUAUUUAAUUCCACAAGAUAAUGCAGUUCUCGCAGAAAGUACGUUCAGCGUGGAUCAUAUCAUGCCGCAUCAGACGACAAGGAUCAUGCAGCAGUACAGUUAUUGCGUCACUUCACUGUCCAGCCAAGCAAUUCAAUAUGAUCGAGAAGC